UUUAUACCCUCUUCAACAUUAUAUAACACAUCUUGUUUUCCAAAUCAAAAAUACAUAGAAUCCCAUAGGAAAGUUGUGGGUCCUUCCACAAAAAUCCCCCCACUUGACAUUGGAAGAUUAUCAACAUUCUUUAUUCAGAUUUAUCU